AUUGAACGCUGGCGGCAGGCUUAACACAUGCAAGUCGAACGAGUGGCGGACGGGUGAGUAAUGUCUGGGAAACUGCCUGAUGGAGGGGGAUAACUACUGGAAACGGUAGCUAAUACCGCAUACCAUCAGAUGUGCCCAGAUGGGAUUAGCUAGUAGGUGGGGUAAAGGCUCACCUAGGCGACGAUCCCUAGCUGGUCUGAGAGGAUGACCAGCCACACUGGAACUGAGCCACGGUCCAGACUCCUACGUGAGGCAGCAGUGGGGAAUAUUGCACAAUGGGCGCAAGCCUGAUGCAGCCAUGCCGCGUGUAUGAAGAAGGCCUGCGGGUUGUAAAGUACUUUCAGCGGGGAGGCGUUACUCGCAGAAGAAGCACCGGCUAACUCCGUGCCAGCAGCCGCGGUAAUUC
rnacentral:rRNA from 1 species